UUUAGUGUUAGAUGAAAGAUAUAAAAUAUAUCAGUCAGAAUUUGUACCUAAAUACUGUUUUCAUUUGGAAAAGCUAGUACGCAAGGCAAUUGAAGAUACUAAUGAAAAUUAUAUACCUGCAGAUAGAGAAAAAAGAACUCCAUUCGAAUGGUGUAUGUUUACUAUUGUGCAUGAAACAUUGCAAUUAUAAAAUAGAAUAUUUUUAAUUUCUAAUAAUUAACGAAUUACAUUUUAAUAUUUUCUCCAUAUAAAUUUAAAAGACACAAGAUUUUUUUUUUAAGUGUAUAAUAUAUUUUUUUAAAUAGCUUUAAAAAAGGUUGUAUUAAUAUUGAAAGUU